rnacentral:rRNA from 1 species
AUGACGUCGAAUGAAUCCUCUAGUUUCCAGGGGUUCUACAGGAACCUCCACACCCCCGCGGUGCUCAUCGGAGCCGGGUUCGUGCUCGUCGCGCUGCUCAUCUCGCUCUGGCUCAUACUGCAGCACCUUAGGUCGUACAGAAACCCUUCGGAGCAGAAGUGGAUCAUAGCUGUCCUGUUUAUGGUGCCUGUAUACGCGUCUGAAUCAAUAAUAUCUCUGUGGCAUUCGGAAUUCUCCUUGGCCUGUGAUAUAUUGCGGAAUUGUUAUGAAGCAUUUGCUUUGUAUGCCUUUGGACGAUACUUGGUUGCAUGCCUGGGGGGAGAACGGCAGGUUGUUGGCCUGCUUGAAAAAGAAAGAAUGGAAGAGCUAAGUGAACAGUUGCUUGAGAGUCAAGAGAAGGCAAAAUAUCGUAAUCGAAGUAGACUGCACGACUUCUUUUGCGAUCCUGAUGCACUGGGGGAGAGCUUAUACACAAUUAUAAAAUUCGGGCUUGUGCAAUAUAUGAUUUUGAAGACAUUAUGUGCUUUCUUGGCAUUCAUCUUGGAGCUUUUUGGAGCAUAUGGAGAUGGUGAACUCAAGUGGAACUAUGGAUACCCUUACAUCGCUCUUGUCAUAAAUUUCAGCCAGACAUGGGCACUGUACUGUCUGGUGAAAUUUUACAAUGCGACACAUGAAAGGCUUCAGGCAAUAAGGCCGCUAGCCAAGUUCAUAAGUUUCAAGGCCAUUGUAUUCGCCACGUGGUGGCAGGGAAUCGGAAUCACAAUCAUCUGCCAUACGGGGCUCCUGCCGAAGGAGGGCAAGGUGCAAAAUGGGAUUCAAGACUUUCUGAUUUGUAUCGAGAUGGCUAUCGCGGCCAUUGCACAUGCGUUUGUCUUCGGCGUGGAGCCGUACCAGCACAUCCCGGUCCAUGACUGCGAGCACGGGGAGGUGACCCAUGAGGAGAGCAAAAUGGAGUUGAGGGUGGAUGUCGAUGACGGCAGCAAUGCGGUGCCGGCCACCGUGGAGCAAAAAGAGACAAAUGUCAAGACUCCAGGAACAAGCAUCAGAGAGAGCGUUGAGGACGUCGUUCUGGGCGGUGGCCACCAUGUCGUCAAGGAUGUGGCCCUGACCAUCUCACAGGCGAUGGAGCCCGUGGAGAAAGGCGUCGGGAAGAUCCAGGAGACCUUCCACCACGUGUCGCUGAAGCCAGGGGACAAGAAGAAGCCCAACGUCGAGGUGGAGGAGCGUGUUACCGAGAAUGUGGUGGACGGUGAAGCUGUCGCGGUCGAUGCGGAGGUGGAGGUUGAAACAAGGGUGAAAGACAAGGGCGAUGAUGGCGAAUCUACCGAGAGGUCGGAAUCAAAAGAGUAG